CCAUUAAUUAAUCUCAAUGGCUACUGUGGUGGAGCUGAAGGUAGGUUUGCAUUGUGAAGACUGCAUCAAGAGGAUCUUAAAAGCCAUUAAAAAGAUUGAAGAUAUUGAAACAUACAAUAUUGAUACAAAGCUGAACAAAAUCACUGUGACUGGUAAUGUAACAACCGAAGAAGUGAUGAGGGUUCUCCAAAAAAUUGGGAAGACAUCAAGUAAUUGGGAA